AUUGAACGCUGGCGGCAUGCUUUACACAUGCAAGUCGAACGGCAGCGCGGGCUUCGGCCUGGCGGCGAGUGGCGGACGGGUGAGUAAUGCAUCGGAACGUGCCCAGUAGUGGGGGAUAGCCUGGCGAAAGCCGGAUUAAUACCGCAUACGACCUGAGGGUGAAAGCGGGGGACCGUAAGGCCUCGCGCUAUUGGAGCGGCCGAUGUCGGAUUAGCUAGUUGGUGGGGUAAAGGCUUACCAAGGCGACGAUCCGUAGCUGGUCUGAGAGGACGACCAGCCACACUGGGACUGAGACACGGCCCAGACUCCUACGGGAGGCAGCAGUGGGGAAUUUUGGACAAUGGGGGCAAGCCUGAUCCAGCCAUGCCGCGUGCGGGAAGAAGGCCUUCGGGUUGUAAACCGCUUUUGUUCGGGAAGAAAGCCUCUGGGCUAAUACCCCGGGGGGAUGACGGUACCGGAAGAAUAAGCACCGGCUAACUACGUG
rnacentral:rRNA from 1 species